CGGGAAACCGGGAAUUAAAACCUGAUGAAACUAUCAAAUCACAUGAUUAAGAAAGUUAAAACUCCGGUGGUAAAAGAUGGACUCGCGUCCCAUUAGCUAGUUGGUUAAGGUAACGGCCCACCAAGGCAACGAUGGGUAGCCGGCCUGAGAGGGUGAACGGCCACAUUGGAACUGAGACACGGCCCAGACUCCUACGGGAGGCAGCCAGCG
rnacentral:rRNA from 1 species